UGACAGCUGGCGACUCGGCGAGCUGGCGAGUUUGUUGAUGCAAUUCUCCCCUCCGAUGGUUGCUAUCGUUUCCAUAGUGUUUAUUAUUACGGUUUGAAAAUUGAAAAUGAGUAGAAAAUUUCUGGACACAAACGACAGUUUGAGAGUACAGGAUGCCGUUAUUCAUCAAUGAGAUCCAAUAUUGGAAACCAAUUAAAUUGCCCAUUUUAAAGUGAAAACAUAUGGUUUGUGUAACAUAUCUCAAGACUGCUCUGCCUACAUUUUUGUCUUGAUAAGACUCUUCUUUACAGCGUGCAUUUCAAAGAUGGGAAUUGAAUCGAACAAAGCUUUUGAUAUCAUGGAGGAUGGUGUUAUUUCUACG